ACAGUUUUAGAGGAUAAAUAAAUCUGAGACUUCUUAUUUGCAACAAAAAAGUGUGACUGGAGAGAGGGUUGGCACAAGAGAAUAAGCUAUCAAGACUGUUGUGAAUGUUGGAGUGGCAGCAGGGAGGUGGCUGCAUUUAAGGAUUUUAGAGAAGAACUUGUCCUUAAUAAUAAGGUUUGAGCCAACUGUAGAGAAUAGGACUGCUGGUUAUCUUAUAAGUCUUAUAUUAUCUUAUAUCUAUAUAUGUGUCCAGUUUUCUGAAGGACAGAACCUUUUUGAAAGAAAAAUGUCAGACUUCUAAAGUAAGCAAAUAAGAGCAGAUAAACUAGGUAUAGCAACCUCUUUGUUUUAUCCCUUUCCCCCAUUUUUUUCUGUUUUUUGUAAUAACCUACAAAUUCUCAUUCUAGAUUAGAUGUGGUUUCUUGGAGAUGCACAUUCCUCUGUUCCUCUGGUAAAGCUCAAAGUCUCUUGUUGUCACUGUAAUACAAAUAAUAAUAAGAGCAUAAUCAAGGUUGUAUUUGUUUUGUGAUUAUUCUGAACACUAGAGACUAACAGUAAUUAUAAUACCAUUAAAUAGUAAUGGAAAAAGAUUUAAAAGUAGAUCAUGAGACUCCUGGAAGGAGGUGAAAAUCUUGCUCCCUUUUCUUCACUGCUGCAGGCAUUGCAUUCCCCUCUUUUAUGGCAAAAAGAGGAACCUAAAGUGUUUUCCAAAAUGCCAGGGGUCAAGAGCACCAUUUGAAGGACAGGUUUAUGUGGGAGAAACUAACUAGGAACUAAUUCAGUUUCAAAAAUUAGUUUCCUUGUAAUUUUAGUAGUGCAUGUAGUAGUCAGAGAUACUGCAUUUAGUGCCCAGAGACAGGAAUAUAACUUUGAAGAAAGCAAUGCUUCUGUAUACCUCUAUACCUCUCACCAUGGGAUCUGAUUGCUUUAUAAACCUAUGCAGCCAGUGUUAUGACACUAUUUCAAACUUUUUUGUGGUGUGCAGAUGAGAAAGCAGUAUGUGAUGCAGCUCUAUGGCCCAGACCUUUGUUCAUGAAACAAUACUCAGUCCCUACAUCAUGGUUUGUGUGAGGUGGUAUUUACCUCCCGUCUUCUUUCAUAUGUGUUCACAGGGUAAAGCUCCUGUCAUGUGCUUGAAACUUUGUGUAAUCCAAGGGAUAAGAACACUGUCCAUCUGGAAGCCAGAGUUAGAGAAGGUAUGACUGCACAAUUGGGCCAGCCAGCAAAAUUCCCCAGAGUUGUGUAAUUCAGAGAUUUUUGUUUUCCCUAAGGAAUAGGGCUGGUGGCAGGUUUUAUUUCAACCUGAGAUGCUACUCCAGAUGGUAAGGAAGAACAUCCUGGCACAGCCUGACUUCCGUGGCAUAGCUGGCAGUGUCAGGCUCUUUGCAGGAAGACAUGCACUCCCUUCUUGGAGUCAGGAGGAUUUGGCACUUCGUGUGAUUCUGCAUUAAAAGGGGAAUUCCACUGUGCCAACUUGCAGCUUCUCCACAGUGCGCAGGUAAGAAUUUACCAUGAUUUUGUAUCUCCCUUUGUAAAGGCUCUGCUAUAUUAAUGAGGGUUAAAAAAGUGCAUUUCAUCCAGUAUAACUCCUUAAAGGAAAAACAAACCUCUCAUGAAAAGAUUUCUAACUGAA